rnacentral:rRNA from 1 species
UCUAUCUGCAGUCGAGCGGAUGAAAGGGAGCUUGCUCCCUGGAUUCAGCGGCGGACGGGUGAGUAACACGUGGGCAACCUGCCUGUAAGACUGGGAUAACUCCGGGAAACCGGGGCUAAUACCGGAUAACUUCUUUUCUCGCAUGGGGAGAGGUUGAAAGACGGUUAUGCUGUCACUUACAGAUGGGCCCGCGGCGCAUUAGCUAGUUGGUGGGGUAACGGCCUACCAAGGCGACGAUGCGUAGCCGACCUGAGAGGGUGAUCGGCCACACUGGGACUGAGACACGGCCCAGACUCCUACGGGAGGCAGCAGUAGGGAAUCUUCCGCAAUGGACGAAAGUCUGACGGAGCAACGCCGCGUGAGUGACGAAGGCCUUCGGGUCGUAAAACUCUGUUAUCAGGGAAGAAUAAGCAUUGGUUAACUGCCAGUGCCUUGACGGUACCUGACCAGAAAGCCACGGCUAACUACGUGCCAGCAGCCGCGGUAAUACGUAGGUGGCAAGCGUUGUCCGGAAUUAUUGGGCGUAAAGCGCGCGCAGGCGGCUUCUUAAGUCUGAUGUGAAAGCCCACGGCUCAACCGUGGAGGGUCAUUGGAAACUGGGAGGCUUGAGUGCAGAAGAGAAGAGCGGAAUUCCACGUGUAGCGGUGAAAUGCGUAGAGAUGUGGAGGAACACCAGUGGCGAAGGCGGCUCUUUGGUCUGUAACUGACGCUGAGGCGCGAAAGCGUGGGGAGAGAACAGGAUUAGAUACCCUGGUAUUCCACGCCGUAAACGAUGAGUGCUAAGUGUUAGGGGGUUUCCGCCCCUUAGUGCUGCAGCAAACGCAUUAAGCACUCCGCCUGGGGAGUACGGCCGCAAGGCUGAAACUCAAAGGAAUUGACGGGGGCCCGCACAAGCGGUGGAGCAUGUGGUUUAAUUCGAAGCAACGCGAGAACCUUACCAGGUCUUGACAUCCCGCUGACCGCUCUGGAGACAGAGUUUUCCCUUCGGGGA